AGUCCUUUGGACCGUCGGGCUCGUCCGGGCGCAGUCGCAUCACCGGGAGCGGGCGGUGGGUUUGGGGUGUUGGCGUUGUUUCAUCUGUUUGCGGGUCUGGCAGGGGGCCGUUCCGAAAUCCCGGUGUUUUAAGUUCUGUCUAAGCACGUUCCCAGGUGUGGGACAUUCCCGGGUUCGUGUCCCCCCGCCCCAGGGACGGAGCGGUUCCCACCUGAGGAGCGCAGGUAGCAGAGCCCUGACUCCCAGCUGUUCUGUAUCCCCCUAUUCCCAUCCCCUCCGCCCCAAAAACCACCCCCAUUCCAGCCAAAAAGGCCGGAGAGCCGAGCCCCUGGGGAUUUUCCCCCUGGAGCCCGGCUCUGGCUGGGAGCCGGGGACACCUCCGUGGGCUCUGCGUCCUUGUGACAGUCCCGAGGUCAGCGCUGGAGCCCGGUCCGUAAAUCCUGCUGGGAACUGUGGGAGCAGGACGGGGAUCCGCGGGGGUCCUGCACCCCCCCGAGCCGCGUCCCUGCAGGUGUGCAGGGUCACUGAGCAGGACUCACAUCUGUGAGUGGCGGCUUCGGGCUGGGCAAGGGAGGAAGAGCAGUUGUGAGAAUACUUGGAAAAGCCUGCCAGGAAACAGGCCCUGUUCUUCCCCAGCUCGGUUGGAAGCCACAGUGGAUUGCACAGCCUUGGGAAUGAAACUCAUCUCGAGGAAUUGCCAUUCUGAGAGGUGCAGGAACUGUGUUUUGGCAGCAAACCGUGGCCUCGUGGAGGAGGAGGAGGAGCGGGGCUGGCUGGGCAGCACUGGGAGUGCUGGGCACCUCCUGCUCAUUCCCUUCCCUGCUGGGCCCAGGAAUGUGGAGCAGUGCUCAGCUGGAUCACAGAGGGGGUUUUAAUUGAAUUUCUUGUUAGAUUAUUUAUUUACUCCUUUGCACAGCAGCUCUCUGCAAGCCCCCAGUGCCCCUCGGGUGGUCCCUUCCAACAGGAGCGGUGCAGGUGGAGCUGGAGGGAGCUGGGCCUUUCCUUGGGGGGGCAGGGAUACACCUACCCAUGUGGGAAGUCCAAGGCAGCAACCCCCCUGUCUGCACUUUCCUCUCAGGAGGGGAUGGAGCAGUAAAUGUGUGAUGGAGGAGCCUCCUGACAUCGCUUAAUCUGGGAUGCCUUGAUGAUCUUGGAGCAGAACCUCGUCCCAAAGGGUGUAAGAAGGGAGAAGAAUUUGCUUUUCUGUUGCCUGCACAGUUUCUUGUGGGCUGCCUGGGUAUGUUGGUACACUGUGAUUCCAUGGGAGGGCUCUUCCCUUCUCCUCCUCCAGGCAUGGGAAGGAUCUCUGGUGACAGUGCAGGGGAGGUGUGUUACCCUUCAGAGAGUUGUGGUUCAUGAUCUGCCCAGUUUUUGGUGAGGGAAGGGAAGUAAAAGGCCCUCCUGGUGUUAAUUCCAUGUAGAUUUAGCAUUGGCAGGGGCUGCCCAGGGAGGUUUGGAGUGCCCAGCCCUGGAGGUGUCCCAGGAAGGCCUGGCCGUGGCACUCAGUGCUCUGGGCUGGGGGACAAGGUGGGGAUGGGGCACAGGGG
ensembl:lncRNA